rnacentral:rRNA from 1 species
AGACGUCUACAUUAGAUACCCCGGUAGUCCCAGCCGUAAACUAUGCGCGUUAGGUGUAUCGGUGACCACGAGUUACCGAGGUGCCGAAGGGAAACCGUGAAACGUGCCGCCUGGGAAGUACGGUCGCAAGGCUGAAACUUAAAGGAAUUGGCGGGGGAGCACCACAACAGGUGGAGCCUGCGGUUUAAUUGGACUCAACGCCGGGAAGCUCACCGGAUAGGACAGCAGAAUGAUUGCCGGGCUGAAGACCCUGCAUGACUAGCUG